rnacentral:lncRNA from 1 species
CUUUUCUUCUUCUCUCGUGGGUUCUUUUGGGCCAAAACAGGAAACCGUGAGGUCCCCUCGUUGGUUGGCCGGCCGGCGGCGCAGCCGGUGUGGGGCGGCCGUCGGCAAGAGGAGGGUGACUCGCCGAUAAGAAGAGGGCCAAGAUCGGUGGUCGGCGGCGACCACCGACGUCGAAAAUCAAAGAAAAACGAGCAAAAUAUAGAGGUUCUUUCGCAACAAAAUCCGGCGACUCCGGUCGCCGGCGAGUAUGCACACUGGCAUGGAAAGGAAGGGGGAGAAGAGAGGAAGGGGAGGAGGCUUACCUCCGACGCCGGCGAGGCUUUUCCGACGAGCAAUUGGACGGCACAGGGACGGAUCUUCCGUGAGAAUUUUCCGGCGAUUGCCGCCGACUGAGCUUGUGAUCUUUGGUGGAAGGGAGAGAGGAGGGAUCUCCU